rnacentral:lncRNA from 1 species
UUUUUUUUUGGUUGGGUGUGACCAUGGUCCCUGCCCAGUUCCGGGCCACAGGAAGGCUCCUCCGCCUGCAGGAUGGAUGAGACAUCCAAAUUUUGUAUCCUAGCUAAAGUGCACCACAAAUAUUAAUAUUAAUAUUCUCGUAUAUAUGCCUAUUACAAACUUGUUUCUUGUUAACGCCAAACAUGAAUUGAAGGCAGUUUACAAUUAAUUUGCAAAAAGAUAAAAGAGGACUGUGGGCAGAGCAUCAUCAGUUGUAGACGCAGCUGCCGUCGUCGCUUCUGGCUGUUGGGUCGAAGUUGCCGGCCUUUGGGUCGGUGCACCCCUCGGGCACGGGCACGCCCACCUGCUGCGCCGCCUUGCCGUAGUACAAGUUGCCGGCGGUGAUGGCUUCGUCGUGGUUGGCGUCGCCGAGCGCCGCCUCGCUGAGGUACUUGUCGGCCAGCUGCACGCGCUUGACGUUCUCCUGCUCCGCCACCAGCAUGUGGCCGUACUCGAGCAGCUUCUCCAGCGUCAUCUUGGGCUGCUGGAACGUCGGCGGGCCCUCCCUGGAGUUGACGAGCUUCCGGCCGAUGUUCUCGAUGCCGGUCUCGGCGACCCACCGGCGCACCUCGUCGUCGUACACCCGGGCUCGCAGCGCGCCGAAGAAGUCGAUGGACUGCCCCGGGAAGGUGUCGACGAGCUUCACGACGGCCUCGUCGGGGACGCCGUCGGUGCGGAAGAUGCCCUUGCAGACUCCUAUCCUAUCCUCGCGGGUGGGCGCCCAGUAGAACUUGUCCAUGCGGCCGUCGCGGAUGAGCGGCGCGUACAGCGUGGAGAAGUCGUUGCCGGUGACGACGAUGGGGACACGGGGGUUCUCCUCCUUGUUGUACAUGCCGGGGAGCUGCACGUUGGUGGGGUUGUCGGCGAUGUUCAUCAGGGUGGCGUUCACCAUCUGGUUGUUCACCGUGUACUGCGUGGUGCCGCCCAUGCGCCCGGCGCCGGCGUCGAGGUCGUUGAUGAAGAGCACGCACAUCCUGCCCUUGCUGAUGAUGUCGGCGGCCUCGCGGUAGCGCUGGCGGAUGAGCUUGGCGGGCUCGCCGGCGUUGCCGCUCUCCAGCUCGCCGGCGCUCAUCAUGACGGGGUUGAUGCCCAUCUUGGCGAAGACGAGCUCGCACUGGAAGGACUUGCCCUGGCCCUUGCCGCCCCAGAUGCCCAGGAUGAGGGGCACCUUGAUGUUGGGCAGGGACAUGAAGUUCUUGGCGAUGUGGACCACCAGCUUGUCCAUGAACGCCGGAGCGAUGUAGUAGCCGUCCAUCAUGUUGUCCAGGUUGUACUGACGGAGACCCUGGCUGAGGUACUCGUAGGAGCUGAGCACGGCCUCGUGGGUGCCGUCGCCCAUGGGCGCCUGGAACAGGGAGUCCACCAGGCCCUUGCCGCGAGUGAUGUCCUGCUGGUCGUCGGAGAUGUCGUGGGCGAGGCCCCUCCACCUGUCGCUCUCGGUCUGCUUGGUCUCGUCCACGGCCUCCUUCUUACUAUUGCUGGCCGACGCCGCCAUCGCCAUGACGACGACUCUGCUUCGACGGUGCUGCUUCCUGGUGGUGAUGAGCUUCUUCUUCUUCUUCCCAACGCCGAGGAAGCUGCUCGGCGUCGAGGCCAAAUUUAAAGCAGCAGCAGCAGCCAUCUCGAUCGAUCGAUCUCAAGAUUAUUGGACGUACAAAUUGAAUGGGAUUGAAGAUGAUGACGAUGAGUUGUAGUAUAUAUAGCAGGGUAAAGAUAUGCAGCUGCUAAAUUGAUGAGCAGGCAGUAGCUAGUGUGGUCUGGAUCCUUCCCGAUUGCUCACUGGAUCUCCAGAACGUUAACGAACAAGUGUGCAGUGGUGGCCUGGUGGGUACGUGAGGCUGAUGAGUGGCCAACAUGUUAGUACGUCCAUCCAAACACUGCUAUCCCAGCCUGACAUGCGUACGCUGUCGAUCGGAUGGGCCGCGUGGGCCCCCACCCUGGAUUUAGCAUUUGAGUACCGCUCUAUCCAUCCAUCCUGUUUUAGCACAGCUUUUUUUAAGUGUUUAUAAUAAUUCUUACUAUAUAUCUUGUAUGUCUAAGAAAAAAAAUCAAAACAAACUACAGUUUAAAAUGGAGGGAAUAUUUAGCAAAAAAAAAUAGGCCAUGUUUGGACCGCAUAUACCGGCUCCAGGGAUCGCCAAAAUGAUUGAGCAAGAACCGAGGGUUUACUGAACCCUUGCAUUAACCCUCAAUCUAUGAGCUUAGUGCGCUAAGGUCGUUGGGUUGGGGAAAAAACUCAUCUUUAGUCGUACUUGCAUUGGAUGGUUCUUAGCGAUUUCAAGAUUAGCCGCUAGACGAUCGCAUAACCUUUGAUCUAACGGAUGACCACCGGGAGCCUUGUUUCUACUCUUUUGUCACGUUUUAGAUACUUGAGUCUCGAGGCUUUUGUCAAGAGAGAACGAAUUGAAGGAUCCAUACAGCUUUUACAAAGCAUGAGAAUCGAAAUUGGUGAUCAUCUCCACGGAAGGGGAGAAGACGACAGGGUAUGCAUGGCGAGCUCAGCAGCUGGCUGCAACGAGCUCUCUGCCGCAGCACGCAGCAGCUGGCGUGCUCCUCGAUCUAGAUAGAUUGUAACGUUUUCGUCAGCGCCCCUCGAUGCCGCCCUGGCUCUCCAUCGGAGUUCCUUUCUCCACUUCCGGUCACAUCAAUCUCCAUCGGCGGCUGUGGCUCACGGCUUCGCCGGAGGUGCCGGAGAGUCCAUUUGUCCAGGCCUCGCCGGCGUGGAGCGAGCGAGCGACCGACGACCUGGGGACGUCGGCGUUCACCCGGAACGCCGCGUGGGAGAGGAGAGGCGACAAAGAAAAAAAAAAAAGGGAAGCGUCAAGAGUACUGGUCGUUUUCUCCCUCUAUCUGAGGAGUGUUGAAAAGAAUUAUUGGAAUGGAACAAACCAAAAAAUAUUGAAAAAAAGAAGAUGCAUUUCCAAUACUAGUCGUUUUUUUGGGAAAGAGAGACCUUUUUUUUGAGGGGGGAAAAGAGAGACUGAUGCUCUGAGGAAUUGAGGAAACACAGGUACCAAAAAAAGAAGAGGGAGAAAACACAAGCCGGGCCUUAACGGGCGGCCAGGCUAUGGCCCGCUAAGGCACGGCCCGUUAAGGCCCGCUCGGGGUCCCCAUCCCACCACGCGCCCCUCCCAAGCCCAUGGGUCGUGGCUGGACUUAUGGGGGGAUCAUUCAUGGGGCAGCAGCUUCUCAUUUCUAGGACUCUGUUUCUGAUAUUGUUCCCGCUGCAUCUGCUCAUCCCCAUGGUGAAUGUUGCUGUUGAUCUGUAGAUUGGAUUUGUUGGUCGGUAGUUUGAUUAGAUUUGUGCUGAAUCAUAAUCUCUGCCUGUGAUAUUUUUCUUCAUUGCGGAUGUGUGCCGAGUAUUAUCCCCUUUGUUCAUUCUGUUGGCUUGCUUUCAUUGAUCUUAAGAUAACUGGUGUCAUAAAUUCACACUAGCUGAUGCACUUGCAGAUAGCUAUGUAAAUAUGAAAAAGAAGUAUUUUUUUUUAUCCUUUUGUUUUUUUUGCAUCAUAUCUGUUUAAAGGUACAGCAUUAGGAUUUUUUUUUGUUUCUGGGGAAUCAUAUCUGCUUAAAUGGUAUAGAAAAUGCUGAGCGUACUGUCAAAUAGAUUUUCCAGCAGUCUGCUUUCAGUUGUUUGCCGCGCAUUCACUGGGGAAGCACGCGCCAGGCAUCACCAGGCUCCUCGUGCCCCUGCUCUGCUCCAAGGACUCGGUGCUUCGACGCGCUGCUUUCCCUGUCAUUGUUAUGUUGAUAUUGGUUUACACGUGUCAUUCACCCCAAAUGGUGUUGCAAGGUUGAACCUAUUGUGGGAGGCUUUUGGUUUCCCUUGACCAAGUAUCACUAGUGAUAUCACUGCGUUCUGGUUAUGUAUGAAACACUUGUCUUUUUAAAACCUUUCUGAAUUUAGAAACGAAUUUGAAACCUUGGUUAUUCAUCAUGGGUUCACAGAUUUGUUUUUCUUUAAAAGAAUUGGGAAGUAGCUUUCUUUCUGGGUAUAUGUGGGGAAAUGCAUAUGCAAUCUUUUAUUUAUUGAGGUGACUGUAAAAUUCUUGUCUGACUGAAUAUGCGAUUUCAACCUACAUGCUAUACUUAGGGAAAUUUGUGAAUCUCCUAAUGUGGCUUAUAUGUGUGGAGUCACUUAACCUAUGCACUUGGACCUCCACGUUUUAUGAACCUAAUUUGACAGCCUGCUCGUCUUUUAUUUUCUACCAAUCAGCUAGGAACGAACAUGGUGAUGUUUGCAUCUCUGCCAUCAAUGGCUUACAUGUCAUUAUGUAUCACAUUAGCAAGUCUUGUUUUGUUAUUGGGCGGGAUGACGGGGACACUGGCUGGAAUUAAAUCAAAGUGGUAGAUCACAGGGUAUUCAUUGCCAUGUAUUUCUGCAGUUGCAUGGACUUGCAUCAAACGGACCUCCCUACUUAUGUGAUUGUCCUAUAUGAUCUCCUUUGAUUUCAUUUGCAUAGAGCUAUGUACACUGUAAUCACAUUAGCUAGAACACUCGCUUUUUGCUUCAAAUUUGAAAUUCAUACCAUGAUGGACUUGAACGCUGAAUUUCUUGAUUGCUGAGUUAGUAAUCACAUUGUGGCGCUGCCACAGAAGCUGGACUCUUCAUUGUUGUUGCCUUGUGGGCUGCCGUGUGCAAAGAACAAGAGCGCACGGUAUUAUAAUAGCAGAGCAGAACACAGACAAGCGACAAGGAGCGGAGCAGAGCAGAGCACAGCCAAGCACAAGCAGUAGAGUAGAGCAGAGCAACCGGGAGAGGAGAGGGCACAUAUGCAGAGUAGAGCAGAGCCAAGCGCAAGCAUUCAUGCACUCAAGCAUGCAGCAGAGGUGUAGCAAGGCAAGCACAAGCAGCAGAGCAGAGGGAAGGGAAGGCUGGGAGAUGAAUAGGCGAAUAGUUAGUUACCUGGACAGAGCAGAGGGAAUGGAGAUGAUGCAGAUGCUUCCGGAGACUGGAGAUUUGGAGAGGAACAAGGCCACGUUGUGAACAAGGUCUCCUUUCUCUUCUCUAUUUCCCGUGCAAUACUCGUGCAUAGUGGCUGCCUCAUCCUCCAGGACGCCCACUUCAACCUGAGGCGGGUGCCACAGAUAUCCUGGCUAGGCGACGGCUAUCCCCAGCACGCCCCAGCGCCUUACGAACUAUGAUCCUAAUACUAUAAAUUGUCACGUACUCACCUUGUAAUCUUGUUUCAAGCAUGCUCUAUAUGUCAACCUGUAAGGUUAACUUCGUUUUUCCUUUUCUGGGUAGGGAAGUGGAUAUUGCUGUUAUUUAUGUUAUGUUGAUAUUGGUUUCCACAUGUCAUUCAUCCCAAAUGUGUUGCAAGGUUGAACCUAUCAUCGGAGGAAUUUUUUUCCCUUGACCUUUAUAUCACUACGCUCUGGUUAUGUAUGAAACGCUUGUCUUCUUAAAAACCUUAAUUUAGAAACGAAUUUGAAAUAUUAUCUUCGUUUACAUCCUGUAUAUGUGUUCUCUACCUUUUGUCCUAUAUUACCUUUUGUCCUAUAUGAUCUGCUUUGAUUUCAUUUGUGCAUAGUUUUUUCAAUUCAGACCUGGUGAUUUCUGAGGUUGAUGUGUCACACCCGAUUUUAAGAGUGCAUUAAAUACAUGUGCGCCAGGAUCAAGUUACACACAUGUACGACAUAAGCAAAUAUCAAAGACAGUGCCAUAACGAAAUAAAGAGAGUAUUAAUCAUUAUUACAUGAUCGAAAGUCUCAAAUAAACCACAAAGUCUAUUUAUUAUGCAGCGGAACUCCUAAGAUAGCAACGUCUCCAUAGGCAGCUGACUGAAGAACUGUACGCCUAGAACUUCUCAAAAUUGUGCAGGUACUCCUCCAAAUUAGCUUGGUCUGAAUAGCGGUUUUGCAAGGGUGAGUACAUUUAUGGUUGAUACUCAACAAGUCGUGGGAAACAGUGUAGUGUAAAGCAAAUCAAGGUAUGGCUAAGGCUUAAACAGCAUCAGCUUUUAAUUUAGUUGGUCAAAUUUUAUUAGCAAUUAACUAGAUGUAAGUUUAUACCACCCAAAAUUAAACAAGAACAUGAAUAAAAUAAUAACAUAACCAUAAAUGAAAUGACAAUAAUUUAAAUCCAUCUUUCGAUAGCAUUAUCAUGUGAGCAAUUUUUUCCCCUUGACCUUUAUAUCACUACACUCUGGUUAUGUAUGAAACACUUGUCUUCUUAAAAAUCUUAAUUUAGAAACGAAUUUGAAGCAUUAUCUUCAUUUACAUCCUGUAUAUGUGUUUUCUACCUUUUGUCCUAUAUGAUCUGCUUUGAUUUAAUUUGUGCAUAGUUUUUUCAAUUCAGACCAAUUUCUGAGGUUCAUGUUGUGCUGAUAAGCAGCCUACUAUUCAAUAACACUUUCAUGUGGCAUGUUCAUGUUAGCUAGCUAGAAACACUGUGCUUUUAGCUUCAAAAUUCAAAUUCAUGAUAUUAUGGACAUUGACAAUGAAUUUCUUGAUUGCUAAGCUAUGUACACUGUAAUCAAAUUGUGGGGCUGAUAAAAUAAGUAGCGUUGAGACACAUAACAAUUGAAUCUUAAGCUUCACACAGAAUCUGGACUAGUCAUCCUCAUUCUUGUCAUGCUGGAAAUGUCUUUGAUACAUUUCAAUCACAGGCAAUUGAAUUCGUACUGGGGAGGAUGGCAAUGGUGCGUGAAGAGAGAUCAAUGUGGCAAAUCUCACACUGUUCAUUACCAGGUAUCUCUGAUUUCUGGUUAUUUUAAAUUUACCUUGACAUGUGACUUAUUGAGGUAGUGUAUUUCAUCUAAUGGUAGUUCUGAAUUUAUGGUAACCUUGGAUGGGGUUUGUCACUUUAUCCACGCACGGACUUACAAAGGACAGCAAAUGACUAUUUUUACAGGGCUCCUGUCUAACCAUGGACUAUACUUUAUGUACCCUUUUUUGACAUGGUAAUUUGAGGUUAAUGGAAAAGUAGCAUAUUUUCCCUGUAGUUACCUUGGGUUUACUUUCGCAUUGUUUUUUUACAGAGUUUGCAACCAGUGUUUCAUUAUCAGAUGAACGCAAGCAGAGGGUAUCACUCGUGGAGAGCCUUGGCGUUGCAGAGCAGUCCCACUCCAACUUGUAGAUAGUAUAUAUUCCCUCUGUUCUAAAAUGUAAGGUAUUUUGAUUUUUUUAGAUAUAUAGAUUCUACUAUGCUAACCUGAUAACCCCAUAAUCCAUCCUGAGGAAAAACCAGGCUAAGAAUAAGUGCUUUCAUGACAUUUAAAUGUCCUGGAAAGUCUUGUUUUGUUUAUAUGCUUAAGCAAAGUAGCUCUGGAGGGCAUGAAAGAAAAGCAUCGUGUUGAUGAGUAUUGCUGGAUGUUUAACUAUUAGUAUGGUAUAUUUAACUGAACAAGGCCUAGGACAGCACAAGGAUGGCCUUUAGGACAGCAUUGCUUUCUCGGCCUAAUUGGCGCCUUACAUUUGGCGACCAUACACGGCCCGUUAAGGAAAUUUAUGCCCAAGUUUGCCGAAGCAUUUAAGGCACAAAUGUUUUUGACUUCUGAUGGCCUGUUUUUGACCUCCCAUGGCCCAGUAGCGACCCUAGUUUUUAUCAGCAAUGACCAAAUGUUAGCCCAGUUUUGCCCCAUCUUAGGGUCUAAUCAUGGACCAAUAAAACAUGUGCUAGACUUCAUGGCCACCGGAUGCGUGUUCGGCCACGUAAUCGUGUGCUAUAGCUCACGGGAGGCUGAAAAUGGCCUGAAGGGGCACAGUGGAUGAAAACGUUAGGGACGCUCGGAACACAAGAAAAUGACCACCAGAUACGUGUUUGGCCAUUGUAACUGUGCGCUAUAGUUGAUAGGUCGAAAGCGGCUUGAAGAGGCAUCAGUGAUGGAAACAUGGGGGAUGGUCGGAACACUUGAAAAUGGCACUGGAUAAGUGUGCUUAUUCCUUGCGGGAUGCUGAAAAUGGCUUGGAAGGGUCAUCUAGGAUGGAAACUAGGUGGACAAUAAGUGAAAAUGGGCAGCGGACACGUGUUCGGUCAUGUAACCGUGUGCUAUAGUCCACUAGAGGUCGGAAAACUGCCCUAGGGACUCUAGAGAUGAAAAUGUGAGGAACAGCUGAAAGGUUACGUGUUUGGCCAUGACAGCCCUAUUAGGAAGCGAUAGAAGUGGAAAGAUAGCUGGUUUCAUAUUGGCAUCCCAUCUCUGAACUUUUGCUUCCCCCUUCCCUCCGUAAUCCCGGGGCAUCGAAUUAAAAAGUAUACAAAUCACUUUCAGAUGUAAUUGAGGGUAAAGAGGGGAGGUUUCACGAGACUCUACAAUGUUCAAAUCAUUCGUUCGUUAGGAUGCCUCAGCUUCAUACAUUGUUGCACUUCCACUUGACACCUAUUUAAAUGGUUCGUCUCGCUGCUACAAGGUAUCAUCAGAUAUAGAAGAAUCAGAGACCGGGGGUAAUAGCAAAAAAGGAAUAUAACUCGUCUGAGGAAGUGGGCGCAGGGGCAGUGGGGUAAGGUAAUUGAAGUAACUAGCCAGUUUCUUCCCGAAACUUUCCAAGAAAAAUUCCGAAUUGGAUCCAAAAUUGACGGAUUAAUCAACCAAAAUAACCGUGAGCAGCCACAAUGUUAUAAAUGUUAUAAGUCCCUUCUUCUUGACCAAAUUUGUAACUCUUAUUAGCAGACUCAUUUUUAGUGGUUUCCCUGAUCAAACUAGAGGUUACCAAGGAACCGUGUGCUAUAGCCCACAGAUGCCUGGAAACAGCUAGGAAGGGCUUCGGGGAUGGAAACAACGUGGACGGUCGGAACACGUGAGAAUGACCACGGGAUACAUGUUUGGCCCUGUAACAGUGUGCUAUAGGAAGCCGGAAAUGGCUAGGAGGGUCACCAGGGAUGAAGAUGCAGGGAUGGAUGGAACAUGUGAAAAUGACCACUAGUGGUUAGUGGCAGGUCUAGAGAGAUAUCUCAUCAAAUUGGUGAGUUAUAUCCGGUUUAAACGAGGAUAAAAAUGGGUGUAUUUUCCACUCAUCAUAUUGUCUUUUCGUAGCUGUACCGCCUUUCGUGUGUUGUAUUGUUCCCCAAACACUAAGUCUCCGAGGCUUGAGAAAAUAAGGAAAGUGAUAGCAGCCCAAAAAUUGACCAAGUUUCUUUCCCCCUCUGGCUUUCUACUAGGAUUCAGAAUCCUCUUUUCCAUGACAAUCUUAAUUAUCUCCCAUACUCCAAAACUCACAAAAACAUCAAGAGUCCGCUGAGAAUAAAUUUAAGUAAAAAACAUGCACACAUAGAUCCACAUCCAAUGGCAAGGAAAGGGGCGUCAGACAAAGCCCAAUGGCAACUGCUGACAUGCGAUUAAAUUCAGAUCCACAUCCGGCCAUUCAAUAAUACGGUUGGAGUUGUGGCACAGAUAUAUUAUUGCAUGAUCAUCAAGAUAAGAUCGUACAGUGACUGAGUGAGACAAUAAAUAGCCAAGUAAACUAUUUUAUCCUGCUGCAAGCUGCAUUCAUAAGUUUAUUUCACCUUUGAUCACAAUACUCUUCACACACGUACGUCUCAGGGAGAUCUCACUUCCGCUGGACUGCUCACUUCCGCUGUCGUCGGUACUGCCAAAGACAUAAGCUCACAUCUGCUAUUGCGGAGCAGGCCAAUUUGCUGCGGAACUUCGGCGACGACCUGAAGGACAUGAACUCGGUGCUGGAGUCCAUCUCAGCAGCGCUCUAGGACGCUGACACCGGUAGAAAAACGACCUUCCAUCGUCAACAAAAAUCCCGGUAGCUUUUUUACUCGGUACUAAAGAGGUUUUAAUCUCGUGCAAACACCUUUAGUCCAGAUUGCUAUUACCACGCAACCCGGACUAAAGCGUCCCCCGCGAGUUAGUAUAUAAGGAUUGCAUCCUUUACUCAGUCAGAUAUAAUAUGUAGGUGAGAUGGUAAGGAAGCUAUGCGUGAGGCUUCAGGUUGUGGGUUCGAAUCCAAGUGGGUGCAGCUGUGGCUUAAGCGGCUGAGGCACGCCGCCAUAGACAUCUCAGAUUUGCUCGAAGACUACCAAGACACUAGUGAACCCUUAACAGUAAAGGUGAGUACUUAUGAAUGUCAGCAUCCAUGUUGUCCAUGCUUCCAAUGUAAUAACAAGAUGGACUACUCUUCCUAGCGGACUCUUCACAACCACUCGUAAAGCUAUGCGUUUCUCAAUGCAAUUUCGUAGAAGCCAAUCGAUCCAACCAAGUGACUAAAUCAUUCGUCCUUUCCAAUGAUGUGCAUCAGGUUUUCUAUAUGAAGGGCAUGUCUAGCAAACCUAAGAUUUCAGAAGAAAAAGAAAAAUCAUUGGAGCCAAAGAGCCACAUAGUUCUUCUAGGAAAAAAAUCAUGGGAGUCGAGAACAUAUCAAACCAAUCAGGGGAUUAUGGUCAGCUUAAUGGCAUGCCUCCAUUCGAUGUCGAAGUUCACCCAAGCAUCAUGUUAGCCAAACAUCAAAUGUUCGUGCGUUGUUACGGUAAAGAUCAAUUGUGUUUUUUAAACUCUUGGAAUUUUUUUAUCUAAGUUUUUAUUUACACUUAUUGGAUGUCUACACAUUUGCUAGAAAACUAAAAUAAUUUGGACUUAAUUAUUUCUUUCAACUGAAGUACUCACUAAAUUUCUACCUUUUUAUUUAAGCAAGAGAGUUGCUAAAAAAAAUGGAUACGUAACCAUGUUGUAUCAUACAAAGUAACCACGUUUCACAUAUAGUCCGGCUUAGCAAACACCAUUGUUUUCUGAACAUAGCGUACAUGAGUUAACAGACAUGGAUUUAUUUCUAUUGCAAGUAGCAUAGCGUACAACCUGCCUGCACCGAUGCAGCUCAAUAUGCGAUAAUUUUUAUCUUCCCAUGUAAUUUUUCUACUCUAGUACAUAUUGAACUCCACAUUAAUGUCAUGUUCUUUCGCGCCCCAGAAGGUUCCUAAAGUUUGGAAACUUAAUAGAUAGCCAGAAUUUUUUUUAAAGAUAUUUAUAUGGAUACUUGUAUGUUCUUUCCAAACUAACAAUAUUGUUUACCAAUAUCAGAAGGAAUAUGGUUAGGAGCCAUUGCCGCAUAUGGCAGGUGAUGGUAGAUGGCGUAUGGGGUUUCGUUAAUUUAAUGGUAUAAUAAGCUGAAAUACAUUUUCUAUUUGCAAAUGAAUCAUAGCUGAAAUUGGUGGGAUUGUUUUUUUCGCCGGUUUAGCAUCCUGUGCACCAGUUCAACCGGAGGGAAGCUGUUUUUUUUCUUUGGUUUUCCACCGGUUCACCGAGACCGAUGACAAUUUUAUGGCAGAAUCAUUACUUGUUUUACUAUUAGGUGAAGAUUUUAGCGUUUAGGUAUCUCACAUUAAACGCAACUUCAACAAUCUAUUUCUAGUGUAUAAUGUAGGAGACCCCGUAAAGAGUCUACACACACAUAUAUGUUGACUAUGAAUGUAAGUUUGUUGGUUUUAUGUAUGUUCGUUUGGAGUUUAUGUAAAUUUUACAUUUUAUAGUUUUGUGUAUAUGACGAAGAUCCAUGACUUGCAUUAAUUUAGCCUUUCUUCCAACAACUCUUAUGCAUGCUGUUUCUAGGCGAGCGUACUGGUUGCAAUUUUGGUCCCCGAUAUAGUGUGAGGACUUAAGGGACACGUGCAGGUCGUAACCUUAGAUAUUUUUGCUGAGAAUGGAUGAAGAAGCAAUAAUAUACUUUGCUUCUGAUUUUCUCCAUGUCAUUUGCUUACUCUUAUCCCUUUUAUUUAUCAUUAUAAGAUGAAAAUAUUGUAAAAACUUGGCUACGUGCGGUCGCAGAAGCUAGAGACUAAAGCGUCCCCCACGAGUUACUAUAUAAAAGGAUUGCAUCCUCUACUCAGUCAUAUGUACUGUGUAGGUGAGAUGGUAAGGAAGCUAUGUGUGAGGCUUGAGGUUGUAGGUUCGAAUCCCACGCACCGCGUGCGCAUGCGCAUAUUUUGCGUGAAAAAUCGCAUGACUUGUGGUCGGCCAAGGAGAAGUGCGUGCGGCUGAGGCACGCCGCCAUAGACAUCUCGGAUUUGCUCCAAGACUACCAAGACACUAGCGAACCCUUAACGGCAAAGUUGAGUACUUACGCGUGUUAGCAUCUAUGUUGUCCAUGCUUCCAAUGCAAUAACAAGAAGGGCUACUCAUCCUAGCGGAUUCUUCACAACCACUCGUAAAGCUAUGCGUUUCUCAAUGCAAUUUCGUAGAUGUCAAUCGAUCCAACCAAGCGACUGAAUCAUUCGUCCUUGCUAAUGAUGUGCAUCAGGUUUUCUAUAUGAAGAACAUGUCUAGCAAAUCCAAGAUUUCAGAAGAAAAAUAAAAAUCAUGAGAACCAAAGCACCACGUAGUUCUUCCAGGUAAAAAAAACAAUCAUCCACUGGGAUGACACACAGUAGCGAUCCAAAACGUCCAUAUUAAGACUUUUUGAUAGCAGAAAAAACAUGAAAAUGUCUAAUAUUUGUAGUAUUAAAAGGAAAAAUAAUAUAUUCACUUGACCUUUUUUUCGUAGCAACGCACCGGUGCGUAGUCAGACUUAGGCCACGUUUGGAUACUCCCUACUAAAGUUUAGCACCUGUCACAUAGGAUGUUUGGAUACUAAUUAGGAGUAUUAAACAUAGGCUAAUUAUAAAACUAAUUGAACAGAUGGAGUCUAAUUUGCGAGACGAAUCUAUUAAGCCUAACUAGUCCAUGAUUUGACAAUGUGGUGCUACAGUAACCAUUUGCUAAUGGUGGAUUAAUUAGGCUUAAUAGAUUCGUCUCGCGAAUUAACAUAGGGUUCUGCAAUUAAUUUUAUAAUUAGCUCAUGUCUAGUCCUUCUAAUUAGCAUCCGAACAUCUGAUAUGAUACUGCUAAAGUUUAUCACCUAGUAUCCAAAUACCCCCUUAAUGCACGAUGCCUGUGCAUCCACUGGGCCUACCCUCGUGGAUCACGCGCUCGUGGAUCACGCGCACCAUGACAUGGCUCAUUAGCUAGUCGUGCUAAUCCUUACCACCAAAUUAAAAACUAGCAUGUGUUGUGUGUUUGUGACCCUAAACGACUACCACCUUCCCGAGUCCACCGGAGUUGCCAGUUCACCACUAAGCUGACUCUCCGAGCUUCAUGUCACUGUCACCGCUCCAAAGACCUAGAUCGGUUCGCUGUGCACCCCGCUUCGUCCUGAGCUAAAUCCCAUCACGAAAGGUGACCGGAUGCUCGUUUUCGAGCGAAUUCUAGCGAGAUUGCCACCACCUUUCCCCUUCCAGCCGAUCGCAGCUGUCUGAUCACAAACCGACAGCCCAGAUCGGAUUUGACCAGGUCAAUACCGGUCAAGCCGAGAUGCAUGCUGCUUUUGCAAGAAGGCCCCUAUUUUUCUCUCUUUUUGCACUUGAGGUCCUACGCAGUUCAAAAGUAAUUAGAUCUAGAUCCUUUUUCUUCUGUUUUAGCCCUGUUCUUUUAUAAAAUCCCACCCGCCAUCCUGUUUGGUAUUUUGACAUGUUAGACCUUCUAUUUAUAUGUUUAAUUAGGUUUUAGCCCUUGGUUUCUUUAAGUUUAGCUCUUGGAAGUUUAGUUUUCUCGCAGUUAAGCCCCUGAACCUUGUUUAGUUCAUAUCUUUAGCGUUUUAAAUCCGUUUUAAGAGAUUCUUACGCCCAUAAGUUCGUGUUGAUGCAUAGAUUAGUUGACUUAUACGGACCUUGCUGAUUCAGCUCCUUCAUUGUGCUUCAGAUCUCGCUAGUGAAGAAUAAUGGAUGGGCUUUGGUUGAGCUUGUAGAUCGACCUGCAGUUGCAGUGAAUGUGCUGAGGACUGGCGGUACCAAUAAUGGGAGGCCGCUGCUCUGCUUGCUACCAAGGCCUGCGACGCUUGGACGCCAUUCAGAGUGCAUAAUUUCCAAGGAUCUCAAGGGCUCCACACCACGUUCCAAGUGUUUUUUCUUUGCCGAGUGUUUUUAGCUCGGCACUUGGCAAAGAGCUUGUUUGCCGAGUGUCCGAAAAAAACACUUGGCAAAGAGAAAACACUCGGCAAAUUUGAUGUUUCCCGUAGUGAUGUACUAUUCAAACUUGAACUGGGAUGCAGGCUUCAGUACCAAAGAGAGCUCUGGGCGCGGGUGAGCAGUGAGCUGGCCGGGCAGGGAGCUCCAAAGCGACAGCAACAAAGAGAGAAAUGCUAAGAGUAAGAACGACACACGAGGUCACUUCACAUAGAUAAUAGCAGUACGAACCAUACAAUAUCCUCUCUCAGUUUCACUCCGCCUCACACACGGCUAGCACACCAUGCAUGCCGAUUUCAUAUUAUUAAUAUUAUUUUUUGGAUGGUUGUUGAAACUAUAUAUAUAGUUAGUCCAAUCUCACGUUUCCGAUUAUAAAAAUCAACGUAAAGAGAUCGGUAGGGAGAGCCGGCAUAAUGAAGCCGACGCGUGUAAUAAGCACCAGAGCCGGCAUUUAUACAAACUGGUACGAAUAGUAAAAAACUAGAAUUUAUAAAUAAAAAAAUGAUUUGCACAUCUAUGCAAUAAUUAGGGGUUAGUGGCAGGUCUAGAGAGAUAUCUCAUCAUUAUAUCCGGUUUAACGAGGAUAAAAAAGAGUGUAUUUUCCACUCAUCAUGUUGUCUUUUCGCAGCGGUACCACUUUUCGUGUGUUGUAUCGGUCCCCUAAUACGGAGUCUCCGAGGCCCGAGAAAAUAAGGAAAGUGAUAGUAGCCCAGAAAUCGGCCAAGUUUCUUUCCCCUUUGGCUUUCCUACUAGGAUUCAGAAUCCUCUUUCGCAUGACAAUCUUAAUUAUCUCCCAUACUCCAAAACUCACAAAAACAUCAAGAGUCCGCUGAGAAUAAAUUUAAGUAAAAAACAUGCACACACAGAUAAUAAUAAUAAUCAUGUUUCCAUAAAAUUGCUAAGUCCAGAGAUAAUACAUAAACAUAGUAGACUGUUCAUGACACAUAUCACGGUGGACAGUGUUUGUGUCCUUAUUACAAGCAACGAGAGAUGCUCGUCACCAACACGCGCGCGCACAGAUGCACGACAUACAUAUAGUAGAGACCAACAGAUGGUCGUCCCAUAUGGUGAACAAUUUAUUGGAGAUAAAUAUUAACGUAACUUGGCCAUAGCUUGAAGCAUAGCAACAUAUGCCUAUGAGUGGCAUUCAUGCUAUCGUUUUAGGCUUGUCCAGCUCCUUCCAUCUUAGCAAGCACUUCCAUUUCUACCAUCUUAGCAGCAACUGUCAAAUUGAGAUACGGAAAUCCCAUUAGCGCAUGAGUUAAUUUUGCAGUGGAAAUAGAGUACAAGAUGUCUUCAUGAUGUAAGUAAUAUGCCUGAAGUUGUGAGAUGGGAAGUGAAGUCAACAAAUUACAUUAACGGAAAUGCAUGGAAGGCCACACAUACGUAUUAGUCCAUGAUAUGCUACAAAGCUUGUAUGUACAUAUAGCAAAUUAAAUGCAUUAAUUGAAUAGAGUGUGUUUAGUGAAUUUACCAGAAUCGUCCAGAAAACAUGGGAAACAGCAAGUGUUCUUGCAGACUGCGUCGGAGGCACCCGCACGAAUACAAAGCUGACAACAUAGUUUUGCCUGGGCGGAUGCGCAGCAGCCGCACUCCGCCGCGGUGGGGUUAACAUUGAGGCUCAAGAUGACCAGGCACAUGAUCACCAUCAAAGUGGUAGUCCUCUUUCCCUCCAUUGCCUCCUCUUAGCUUGCUGCUACCUUCCUUGGUUACCUAGCUAAGUUUAUUGGUUUUGUGUUGAGAGGUGUGAUUCUUGAAUGGACGUUGCCGGCGGCAAUUUAUAGGCAGCUGAGCUAUGUGAUGAUAUGGACUAGGUGCAAAUGGGUGGUUAAUGGCAAGGAAAGGGGCGUCAGACAAAGCCCAAUGGCAACUGCUGACAUGCGAUUAAAUUCAGAUCCACAUCCGGCCAUUCAAUAAUACGGUUGGAGUUGUGGCACAGAUAUAUUAUUGCAUGAUCAUCAAGAUAAGAUCGUACAGUGACUGAGUGAGACAAUAAAUAGCCAAGUAAACUAUUUUAUCCUGCUGCAAGCUGCAUUCAUAAGUUUAUUUCACCUUUGAUCACAAUACUCUUCACACACGUACGUCUCAGGGAGAUCUCACUUCCGCUGGACUGCUCACUUCCGCUGUCGUCGGUACUGCCAAAGACAUAAGCUCACAUCUGCUAUUGCGGAGCAGGCCAAUUUGCUGCGGAACUUCGGCGACGACCUGAAGGACAUGAACUCGGUGCUGGAGUCCAUCUCAGCAGCGCUCUAGGACGCUGACACCGGUAGAAAAACGACCUUCCAUCGUCAACAAAAAUCCCGGUAGCUUUUUUACUCGGUACUAAAGAGGUUUUAAUCUCGUGCAAACACCUUUAGUCCAGAUUGCUAUUACCACGCAACCCGGACUAAAGCGUCCCCCGCGAGUUAGUAUAUAAGGAUUGCAUCCUUUACUCAGUCAGAUAUAAUAUGUAGGUGAGAUGGUAAGGAAGCUAUGCGUGAGGCUUCAGGUUGUGGGUUCGAAUCCAAGUGGGUGCAGCUGUGGCUUAAGCGGCUGAGGCACGCCGCCAUAGACAUCUCAGAUUUGCUCGAAGACUACCAAGACACUAGUGAACCCUUAACAGUAAAGGUGAGUACUUAUGAAUGUCAGCAUCCAUGUUGUCCAUGCUUCCAAUGUAAUAACAAGAUGGACUACUCUUCCUAGCGGACUCUUCACAACCACUCGUAAAGCUAUGCGUUUCUCAAUGCAAUUUCGUAGAAGCCAAUCGAUCCAACCAAGUGACUAAAUCAUUCGUCCUUUCCAAUGAUGUGCAUCAGGUUUUCUAUAUGAAGGGCAUGUCUAGCAAACCUAAGAUUUCAGAAGAAAAAGAAAAAUCAUUGGAGCCAAAGAGCCACAUAGUUCUUCUAGGAAAAAAAUCAUGGGAGUCGAGAACAUAUCAAACCAAUCAGGGGAUUAUGGUCAGCUUAAUGGCAUGCCUCCAUUCGAUGUCGAAGUUCACCCAAGCAUCAUGUUAGCCAAACAUCAAAUGUUCGUGCGUUGUUACGGUAAAGAUCAAUUGUGUUUUUUAAACUCUUGGAAUUUUUUUAUCUAAGUUUUUAUUUACACUUAUUGGAUGUCUACACAUUUGCUAGAAAACUAAAAUAAUUUGGACUUAAUUAUUUCUUUCAACUGAAGUACUCACUAAAUUUCUACCUUUUUAUUUAAGCAAGAGAGUUGCUAAAAAAAAUGGAUACGUAACCAUGUUGUAUCAUACAAAGUAACCACGUUUCACAUAUAGUCCGGCUUAGCAAACACCAUUGUUUUCUGAACAUAGCGUACAUGAGUUAACAGACAUGGAUUUAUUUCUAUUGCAAGUAGCAUAGCGUACAACCUGCCUGCACCGAUGCAGCUCAAUAUGCGAUAAUUUUUAUCUUCCCAUGUAAUUUUUCUACUCUAGUACAUAUUGAACUCCACAUUAAUGUCAUGUUCUUUCGCGCCCCAGAAGGUUCCUAAAGUUUGGAAACUUAAUAGAUAGCCAGAAUUUUUUUUAAAGAUAUUUAUAUGGAUACUUGUAUGUUCUUUCCAAACUAACAAUAUUGUUUACCAAUAUCAGAAGGAAUAUGGUUAGGAGCCAUUGCCGCAUAUGGCAGGUGAUGGUAGAUGGCGUAUGGGGUUUCGUUAAUUUAAUGGUAUAAUAAGCUGAAAUACAUUUUCUAUUUGCAAAUGAAUCAUAGCUGAAAUUGGUGGGAUUGUUUUUUUCGCCGGUUUAGCAUCCUGUGCACCAGUUCAACCGGAGGGAAGCUGUUUUUUUUCUUUGGUUUUCCACCGGUUCACCGAGACCGAUGACAAUUUUAUGGCAGAAUCAUUACUUGUUUUACUAUUAGGUGAAGAUUUUAGCGUUUAGGUAUCUCACAUUAAACGCAACUUCAACAAUCUAUUUCUAGUGUAUAAUGUAGGAGACCCCGUAAAGAGUCUACACACACAUAUAUGUUGACUAUGAAUGUAAGUUUGUUGGUUUUAUGUAUGUUCGUUUGGAGUUUAUAUAAAUUUUACAUUUUAUAGUUUUGUGUAUAUGACGAAGAUCCAUGACUUGCAUUAAUUUAGCCUUUCUUCCAACAACUCUUAUGCAUGCUGUUUCUAGGCGAGCGUACUGGUUGCAAUUUUGGUCCCCGAUAUAGUGUGAGGACUUAAGGGACACGUGCAGGUCGUAACCUUAGAUAUUUUUGCUGAGAAUGGAUGAAGAAGCAAUAAUAUACUUUGCUUCUGAUUUUCUCCAUGUCAUUUGCUUACUCUUAUCCCUUUUAUUUAUCAUUAUAAGAUGAAAAUAUUGUAAAAACUUGGCUACGUGCGGUCGCAGAAGCUAGAGACUAAAGCGUCCCCCACGAGUUACUAUAUAAAAGGAUUGCAUCCUCUACUCAGUCAUAUGUACUGUGUAGGUGAGAUGGUAAGGAAGCUAUGUGUGAGGCUUGAGGUUGUAGGUUCGAAUCCCACGCACCGCGUGCGCAUGCGCAUAUUUUGCGUGAAAAAUCGCAUGACUUGUGGUCGGCCAAGGAGAAGUGCGUGCGGCUGAGGCACGCCGCCAUAGACAUCUCGGAUUUGCUCCAAGACUACCAAGACACUAGCGAACCCUUAACGGCAAAGUUGAGUACUUACGCGUGUUAGCAUCUAUGUUGUCCAUGCUUCCAAUGCAAUAACAAGAAGGGCUACUCAUCCUAGCGGAUUCUUCACAACCACUCGUAAAGCUAUGCGUUUCUCAAUGCAAUUUCGUAGAUGUCAAUCGAUCCAACCAAGCGACUGAAUCAUUCGUCCUUGCUAAUGAUGUGCAUCAGGUUUUCUAUAUGAAGAACAUGUCUAGCAAAUCCAAGAUUUCAGAAGAAAAAUAAAAAUCAUGAGAACCAAAGCACCACGUAGUUCUUCCAGGUAAAAAAAACAAUCAUCCACUGGGAUGACACACAGUAGCGAUCCAAAACGUCCAUAUUAAGACUUUUUGAUAGCAGAAAAAACAUGAAAAUGUCUAAUAUUUGUAGUAUUAAAAGGAAAAAUAAUAUAUUCACUUGACCUUUUUUUCGUAGCAACGCACCGGUGCGUAGUCAGACUUAGGCCACGUUUGGAUACUCCCUACUAAAGUUUAGCACCUGUCACAUAGGAUGUUUGGAUACUAAUUAGGAGUAUUAAACAUAGGCUAAUUAUAAAACUAAUUGAACAGAUGGAGUCUAAUUUGCGAGACGAAUCUAUUAAGCCUAACUAGUCCAUGAUUUGACAAUGUGGUGCUACAGUAACCAUUUGCUAAUGGUGGAUUAAUUAGGCUUAAUAGAUUCGUCUCGCGAAUUAACAUAGGGUUCUGCAAUUAAUUUUAUAAUUAGCUCAUGUCUAGUCCUUCUAAUUAGCAUCCGAACAUCUGAUAUGAUACUGCUAAAGUUUAUCACCUAGUAUCCAAAUACCCCCUUAAUGCACGAUGCCUGUGCAUCCACUGGGCCUACCCUCGUGGAUCACGCGCUCGUGGAUCACGCGCACCAUGACAUGGCUCAUUAGCUAGUCGUGCUAAUCCUUACCACCAAAUUAAAAACUAGCAUGUGUUGUGUGUUUGUGACCCUAAACGACUACCACCUUCCCGAGUCCACCGGAGUUGCCAGUUCACCACUAAGCUGACUCUCCGAGCUUCAUGUCACUGUCACCGCUCCAAAGACCUAGAUCGGUUCGCUGUGCACCCCGCUUCGUCCUGAGCUAAAUCCCAUCACGAAAGGUGACCGGAUGCUCGUUUUCGAGCGAAUUCUAGCGAGAUUGCCACCACCUUUCCCCUUCCAGCCGAUCGCAGCUGUCUGAUCACAAACCGACAGCCCAGAUCGGAUUUGACCAGGUCAAUACCGGUCAAGCCGAGAUGCAUGCUGCUUUUGCAAGAAGGCCCCUAUUUUUCUCUCUUUUUGCACUUGAGGUCCUACGCAGUUCAAAAGUAAUUAGAUCUAGAUCCUUUUUCUUCUGUUUUAGCCCUGUUCUUUUAUAAAAUCCCACCCGCCAUCCUGUUUGGUAUUUUGACAUGUUAGACCUUCUAUUUAUAUGUUUAAUUAGGUUUUAGCCCUUGGUUUCUUUAAGUUUAGCUCUUGGAAGUUUAGUUUUCUCGCAGUUAAGCCCCUGAACCUUGUUUAGUUCAUAUCUUUAGCGUUUUAAAUCCGUUUUAAGAGAUUCUUACGCCCAUAAGUUCGUGUUGAUGCAUAGAUUAGUUGACUUAUACGGACCUUGCUGAUUCAGCUCCUUCAUUGUGCUUCAGAUCUCGCUAGUGAAGAAUAAUGGAUGGGCUUUGGUUGAGCUUGUAGAUCGACCUGCAGUUGCAGUGAAUGUGCUGAGGACUGGCGGUACCAAUAAUGGGAGGCCGCUGCUCUGCUUGCUACCAAGGCCUGCGACGCUUGGACGCCAUUCAGAGUGCAUAAUUUCCAAGGAUCUCAAGGGCUCCACACCACGUUCCAAGUGUUUUUUCUUUGCCGAGUGUUUUUAGCUCGGCACUUGGCAAAGAGCUUGUUUGCCGAGUGUCCGAAAAAAACACUUGGCAAAGAGAAAACACUCGGCAAAUUUGAUGUUUCCCGUAGUGAUGUACUAUUCAAACUUGAACUGGGAUGCAGGCUUCAGUACCAAAGAGAGCUCUGGGCGCGGGUGAGCAGUGAGCUGGCCGGGCAGGGAGCUCCAAAGCGACAGCAACAAAGAGAGAAAUGCUAAGAGUAAGAACGACACACGAGGUCACUUCACAUAGAUAAUAGCAGUACGAACCAUACAAUAUCCUCUCUCAGUUUCACUCCGCCUCACACACGGCUAGCACACCAUGCAUGCCGAUUUCAUAUUAUUAAUAUUAUUUUUUGGAUGGUUGUUGAAACUAUAUAUAUAGUUAGUCCAAUCUCACGUUUCCGAUUAUAAAAAUCAACGUAAAGAGAUCGGAAGGGAGAGCCGGCAUAAUGAAGCCGACGCGUGUAAUAAGCACCAGAGCCGGCAUUUAUACAAACUGGUACGAAUAGUAAAAAACUAGAAUUUAUAAAUAAAAAAAUGAUUUGCACAUCUAUGCAAUAAUUAGGGGUUAGUGGCAGGUCUAGAGAGAUAUCUCAUCAUUAUAUCCGGUUUAACGAGGAUAAAAAAGAGUGUAUUUUCCACUCAUCAUGUUGUCUUUUCGCAGCGGUACCACUUUUCGUGUGUUGUAUCGGUCCCCUAAUACGGAGUCUCCGAGGCCCGAGAAAAUAAGGAAAGUGAUAGUAGCCCAGAAAUCGGCCAAGUUUCUUUCCCCUUUGGCUUUCCUACUAGGAUUCAGAAUCCUCUUUCGCAUGACAAUCUUAAUUAUCUCCCAUACUCCAAAACUCACAAAAACAUCAAGAUUCCGCUGAGAAUAAAUUUAAGUAAAAAACAUGCACACACAGAUAAUAAUAAUAAUCAUGUUUCCAUAAAAUUGCUAAGUCCAGAGAUAAUACAUAAACAUAGUAGACUGUUCAUGACACAUAUCACGGUGGACAGUGUUUGUGUCCUUAUUACAAGCAACGAGAGAUGCUCGUCACCAACACGCGCGCGCACAGAUGCACGACAUACAUAUAGUAGAGACCAACAGAUGGUCGUCCCAUAUGGUGAACAAUUUAUUGGGGAUAAAUAUUAACGUAACUUGGCCAUAGCUUGAAGCAUAGCAACAUAUGCCUAUGAGUGGCAUUCAUGCUAUCGUUUUAGGCUUGUCCAGCUCCUUCCAUCUUAGCAAGCACUUCCAUUUCUACCAUCUUAGCAGCAACUGUCAAAUUGAGAUACGGAAAUCCCAUUAGCGCAUGAGUUAAUUUUGCAGUGGAAAUAGAGUACAAGAUGUCUUCAUGAUGUAAGUAAUAUGCCUGAAGUUGUGAGAUGGGAAGUGAAGUCAACAAAUUACAUUAACGGAAAUGCAUGGAAGGCCACACAUACGUAUUAGUCCAUGAUAUGCUACAAAGCUUGUAUGUACAUAUAGCAAAUUAAAUGCAUUAAUUGAAUAGAGUGUGUUUAGUGAAUUUACCAGAAUCGUCCAGAAAACAUGGGAAACAGCAAGUGUUCUUGCAGACUGCGUCGGAGGCACCCGCACGAAUACAAAGCUGACAACAUAGUUUUGCCUGGGCGGAUGCGCAGCAGCCGCACUCCGCCGCGGUGGGGUUAACAUUGAGGCUCAAGAUGACCAGGCACAUGAUCACCAUCAAAGUGGUAGUCCUCUUUCCCUCCAUUGCCUCCUCUUAGCUUGCUGCUACCUUCCUUGGUUACCUAGCUAAGUUUAUUGGUUUUGUGUUGAGAGGUGUGAUUUUUGAAUGGACGUUGCCGGCGGCAAUUUAUAGGCAGCUGAGCUAUGUGAUGAUAUGGACUAGGUGCAAAUGGGUGGUUAAUGGCAAGGAAAGGGGCGUCAGACAAAGCCCAAUGGCAACUGCUGACAUGCGAUUAAAUUCAGAUCCACAUCCGGCCAUUCAAUAAUACGGUUGGAGUUGUGGCACAGAUAUAUUAUUGCAUGAUCAUCAAGAUAAGAUCGUACAGUGACUGAGUGAGACAAUAAAUAGCCAAGUAAACUAUUUUAUCCUGCUGCAAGCUGCAUUCAUAAGUUUAUUUCACCUUUGAUCACAAUACUCUUCACACACGUACGUCUCAGGGAGAUCUCACUUCCGCUGGACUGCUCACUUCCGCUGUCGUCGGUACUGCCAAAGACAUAAGCUCACAUCUGCUAUUGCGGAGCAGGCCAAUUUGCUGCGGAACUUCGGCGACGACCUGAAGGACAUGAACUCGGUGCUGGAGUCCAUCUCAGCAGCGCUCUAGGACGCUGACACCGGUAGAAAAACGACCUUCCAUCGUCAACAAAAAUCCCGGUAGCUUUUUUACUCGGUACUAAAGAGGUUUUAAUCUCGUGCAAACACCUUUAGUCCAGAUUGCUAUUACCACGCAACCCGGACUAAAGCGUCCCCCGCGAGUUAGUAUAUAAGGAUUGCAUCCUUUACUCAGUCAGAUAUAAUAUGUAGGUGAGAUGGUAAGGAAGCUAUGCGUGAGGCUUCAGGUUGUGGGUUCGAAUCCAAGUGGGUGCAGCUGUGGCUUAAGCGGCUGAGGCACGCCGCCAUAGACAUCUCAGAUUUGCUCGAAGACUACCAAGACACUAGUGAACCCUUAACAGUAAAGGUGAGUACUUAUGAAUGUCAGCAUCCAUGUUGUCCAUGCUUCCAAUGUAAUAACAAGAUGGACUACUCUUCCUAGCGGACUCUUCACAACCACUCGUAAAGCUAUGCGUUUCUCAAUGCAAUUUCGUAGAAGCCAAUCGAUCCAACCAAGUGACUAAAUCAUUCGUCCUUUCCAAUGAUGUGCAUCAGGUUUUCUAUAUGAAGGGCAUGUCUAGCAAACCUAAGAUUUCAGAAGAAAAAGAAAAAUCAUUGGAGCCAAAGAGCCACAUAGUUCUUCUAGGAAAAAAAUCAUGGGAGUCGAGAACAUAUCAAACCAAUCAGGGGAUUAUGGUCAGCUUAAUGGCAUGCCUCCAUUCGAUGUCGAAGUUCACCCAAGCAUCAUGUUAGCCAAACAUCAAAUGUUCGUGCGUUGUUACGGUAAAGAUCAAUUGUGUUUUUUAAACUCUUGGAAUUUUUUUAUCUAAGUUUUUAUUUACACUUAUUGGAUGUCUACACAUUUGCUAGAAAACUAAAAUAAUUUGGACUUAAUUAUUUCUUUCAACUGAAGUACUCACUAAAUUUCUACCUUUUUAUUUAAGCAAGAGAGUUGCUAAAAAAAAUGGAUACGUAACCAUGUUGUAUCAUACAAAGUAACCACGUUUCACAUAUAGUCCGGCUUAGCAAACACCAUUGUUUUCUGAACAUAGCGUACAUGAGUUAACAGACAUGGAUUUAUUUCUAUUGCAAGUAGCAUAGCGUACAACCUGCCUGCACCGAUGCAGCUCAAUAUGCGAUAAUUUUUAUCUUCCCAUGUAAUUUUUCUACUCUAGUACAUAUUGAACUCCACAUUAAUGUCAUGUUCUUUCGCGCCCCAGAAGGUUCCUAAAGUUUGGAAACUUAAUAGAUAGCCAGAAUUUUUUUUAAAGAUAUUUAUAUGGAUACUUGUAUGUUCUUUCCAAACUAACAAUAUUGUUUACCAAUAUCAGAAGGAAUAUGGUUAGGAGCCAUUGCCGCAUAUGGCAGGUGAUGGUAGAUGGCGUAUGGGGUUUCGUUAAUUUAAUGGUAUAAUAAGCUGAAAUACAUUUUCUAUUUGCAAAUGAAUCAUAGCUGAAAUUGGUGGGAUUGUUUUUUCGCCGGUUUAGCAUCCUGUGCACCAGUUCAACCGGAGGGAAGCUGUUUUUUUUCUUUGGUUUUCCACCGGUUCACCGAGACCGAUGACAAUUUUAUGGCAGAAUCAUUACUUGUUUUACUAUUAGGUGAAGAUUUUAGCGUUUAGGUAUCUCACAUUAAACGCAACUUCAACAAUCUAUUUCUAGUGUAUAAUGUAGGAGACCCCGUAAAGAGUCUACACACACAUAUAUGUUGACUAUGAAUGUAAGUUUGUUGGUUUUAUGUAUGUUCGUUUGGAGUUUAUAUAAAUUUUACAUUUUAUAGUUUUGUGUAUAUGACGAAGAUCCAUGACUUGCAUUAAUUUAGCCUUUCUUCCAACAACUCUUAUGCAUGCUGUUUCUAGGCGAGCGUACUGGUUGCAAUUUUGGUCCCCGAUAUAGUGUGAGGACUUAAGGGACACGUGCAGGUCGUAACCUUAGAUAUUUUUGCUGAGAAUGGAUGAAGAAGCAAUAAUAUACUUUGCUUCUGAUUUUCUCCAUGUCAUUUGCUUACUCUUAUCCCUUUUAUUUAUCAUUAUAAGAUGAAAAUAUUGUAAAAACUUGGCUACGUGCGGUCGCAGAAGCUAGAGACUAAAGCGUCCCCCACGAGUUACUAUAUAAAAGGAUUGCAUCCUCUACUCAGUCAUAUGUACUGUGUAGGUGAGAUGGUAAGGAAGCUAUGUGUGAGGCUUGAGGUUGUAGGUUCGAAUCCCACGCACCGCGUGCGCAUGCGCAUAUUUUGCGUGAAAAAUCGCAUGACUUGUGGUCGGCCAAGGAGAAGUGCGUGCGGCUGAGGCACGCCGCCAUAGACAUCUCGGAUUUGCUCCAAGACUACCAAGACACUAGCGAACCCUUAACGGCAAAGUUGAGUACUUACGCGUGUUAGCAUCUAUGUUGUCCAUGCUUCCAAUGCAAUAACAAGAAGGGCUACUCAUCCUAGCGGAUUCUUCACAACCACUCGUAAAGCUAUGCGUUUCUCAAUGCAAUUUCGUAGAUGUCAAUCGAUCCAACCAAGCGACUGAAUCAUUCGUCCUUGCUAAUGAUGUGCAUCAGGUUUUCUAUAUGAAGAACAUGUCUAGCAAAUCCAAGAUUUCAGAAGAAAAAUAAAAAUCAUGAGAACCAAAGCACCACGUAGUUCUUCCAGGUAAAAAAAACAAUCAUCCACUGGGAUGACACACAGUAGCGAUCCAAAACGUCCAUAUUAAGACUUUUUGAUAGCAGAAAAAACAUGAAAAUGUCUAAUAUUUGUAGUAUUAAAAGGAAAAAUAAUAUAUUCACUUGACCUUUUUUUCGUAGCAACGCACCGGUGCGUAGUCAGACUUAGGCCACGUUUGGAUACUCCCUACUAAAGUUUAGCACCUGUCACAUAGGAUGUUUGGAUACUAAUUAGGAGUAUUAAACAUAGGCUAAUUAUAAAACUAAUUGAAUAGAUGGAGUCUAAUUUGCGAGACGAAUCUAUUAAGCCUAACUAGUCCAUGAUUUGACAAUGUGGUGCUACAGUAACCAUUUGCUAAUGGUGGAUUAAUUAGGCUUAAUAGAUUCGUCUCGCGAAUUAACAUAGGGUUCUGCAAUUAAUUUUAUAAUUAGCUCAUGUCUAGUCCUUCUAAUUAGCAUCCGAACAUCUGAUAUGAUACUGCUAAAGUUUAUCACCUAGUAUCCAAAUACCCCCUUAAUGCACGAUGCCUGUGCAUCCACUGGGCCUACCCUCGUGGAUCACGCGCUCGUGGAUCACGCGCACCAUGACAUGGCUCAUUAGCUAGUCGUGCUAAUCCUUACCACCAAAUUAAAAACUAGCAUGUGUUGUGUGUUUGUGACCCUAAACGACUACCACCUUCCCGAGUCCACCGGAGUUGCCAGUUCACCACUAAGCUGACUCUCCGAGCUUCAUGUCACUGUCACCGCUCCAAAGACCUAGAUCGGUUCGCUGUGCACCCCGCUUCGUCCUGAGCUAAAUCCCAUCACGAAAGGUGACCGGAUGCUCGUUUUCGAGCGAAUUCUAGCGAGAUUGCCACCACCUUUCCCCUUCCAGCCGAUCGCAGCUGUCUGAUCACAAACCGACAGCCCAGAUCGGAUUUGACCAGGUCAAUACCGGUCAAGCCGAGAUGCAUGCUGCUUUUGCAAGAAGGCCCCUAUUUUUCUCUCGUUUUGCACUUGAGGUCCUACGCAGUUCAAAAGUAAUUAGAUCUAGAUCCUUUUUCUUCUGUUUUAGCCCUGUUCUUUUAUAAAAUCCCACCCGCCAUCCUGUUUGGUAUUUUGACAUGUUAGACCUUCUAUUUAUAUGUUUAAUUAGGUUUUAGCCCUUGGUUUCUUUAAGUUUAGCUCUUGGAAGUUUAGUUUUCUCGCAGUUAAGCCCCUGAACCUUGUUUAGUUCAUAUCUUUAGCGUUUUAAAUCCGUUUUAAGAGAUUCUUACGCCCAUAAGUUCGUGUUGAUGCAUAGAUUAGUUGACUUAUACGGACCUUGCUGAUUCAGCUCCUUCAUUGUGCUUCAGAUCUCGCUAGUGAAGAAUAAUGGAUGGGCUUUGGUUGAGCUUGUAGAUCGACCUGCAGUUGCAGUGAAUGUGCUGAGGACUGGCGGUACCAAUAAUGGGAGGCCGCUGCUCUGCUUGCUACCAAGGCCUGCGACGCUUGGACGCCAUUCAGAGUGCAUAAUUUCCAAGGAUCUCAAGGGCUCCACACCACGUUCCAAGUGUUUUUUCUUUGCCGAGUGUUUUUAGCUCGGCACUUGGCAAAGAGCUUGUUUGCCGAGUGUCCGAAAAAAACACUUGGCAAAGAGAAAACACUCGGCAAAUUUGAUGUUUCCCGUAGUGAUGUACUAUUCAAACUUGAACUGGGAUGCAGGCUUCAGUACCAAAGAGAGCUCUGGGCGCGGGUGAGCAGUGAGCUGGCCGGGCAGGGAGCUCCAAAGCGACAGCAACAAAGAGAGAAAUGCUAAGAGUAAGAACGACACACGAGGUCACUUCACAUAGAUAAUAGCAGUACGAACCAUACAAUAUCCUCUCUCAGUUUCACUCCGCCUCACACACGGCUAGCACACCAUGCAUGCCGAUUUCAUAUUAUUAAUAUUAUUUUUUGGAUGGUUGUUGAAACUAUAUAUAUAGUUAGUCCAAUCUCACGUUUCCGAUUAUAAAAAUCAACGUAAAGAGAUCGGUAGGGAGAGCCGGCAUAAUGAAGCCGACGCGUGUAAUAAGCACCAGAGCCGGCAUUUAUACAAACUGGUACGAAUAGUAAAAAACUAGAAUUUAUAAAUAAAAAAAUGAUUUGCACAUCUAUGCAAUAAUUAGGGGUUAGUGGCAGGUCUAGAGAGAUAUCUCAUCAUUAUAUCCGGUUUAACGAGGAUAAAAAAGAGUGUAUUUUCCACUCAUCAUGUUGUCUUUUCGCAGCGGUACCACUUUUCGUGUGUUGUAUCGGUCCCCUAAUACGGAGUCUCCGAGGCCCGAGAAAAUAAGGAAAGUGAUAGUAGCCCAGAAAUCGGCCAAGUUUCUUUCCCCUUUGGCUUUCCUACUAGGAUUCAGAAUCCUCUUUCGCAUGACAAUCUUAAUUAUCUCCCAUACUCCAAAACUCACAAAAACAUCAAGAGUCCGCUGAGAAUAAAUUUAAGUAAAAAACAUGCACACACAGAUAAUAAUAAUAAUCAUGUUUCCAUAAAAUUGCUAAGUCCAGAGAUAAUACAUAAACAUAGUAGACUGUUCAUGACACAUAUCACGGUGGACAGUGUUUGUGUCCUUAUUACAAGCAACGAGAGAUGCUCGUCACCAACACGCGCGCGCACAGAUGCACGACAUACAUAUAGUAGAGACCAACAGAUGGUCGUCCCAUAUGGUGAACAAUUUAUUGGAGAUAAAUAUUAACGUAACUUGGCCAUAGCUUGAAGCAUAGCAACAUAUGCCUAUGAGUGGCAUUCAUGCUAUCGUUUUAGGCUUGUCCAGCUCCUUCCAUCUUAGCAAGCACUUCCAUUUCUACCAUCUUAGCAGCAACUGUCAAAUUGAGAUACGGAAAUCCCAUUAGCGCAUGAGUUAAUUUUGCAGUGGAAAUAGAGUACAAGAUGUCUUCAUGAUGUAAGUAAUAUGCCUGAAGUUGUGAGAUGGGAAGUGAAGUCAACAAAUUACAUUAACGGAAAUGCAUGGAAGGCCACACAUACGUAUUAGUCCAUGAUAUGCUACAAAGCUUGUAUGUACAUAUAGCAAAUUAAAUGCAUUAAUUGAAUAGAGUGUGUUUAGUGAAUUUACCAGAAUCGUCCAGAAAACAUGGGAAACAGCAAGUGUUCUUGCAGACUGCGUCGGAGGCACCCGCACGAAUACAAAGCUGACAACAUAGUUUUGCCUGGGCGGAUGCGCAGCAGCCGCACUCCGCCGCGGUGGGGUUAACAUUGAGGCUCAAGAUGACCAGGCACAUGAUCACCAUCAAAGUGGUAGUCCUCUUUCCCUCCAUUGCCUCCUCUUAGCUUGCUGCUACCUUCCUUGGUUACCUAGCUAAGUUUAUUGGUUUUGUGUUGAGAGGUGUGAUUCUUGAAUGGACGUUGCCGGCGGCAAUUUAUAGGCAGCUGAGCUAUGUGAUGAUAUGGACUAGGUGCAAAUGGGUGGUUAAUGGCAAGGAAAGGGGCGUCAGACAAAGCCCAAUGGCAACUGCUGACAUGCGAUUAAAUUCAGAUCCACAUCCGGCCAUUCAAUAAUACGGUUGGAGUUGUGGCACAGAUAUAUUAUUGCAUGAUCAUCAAGAUAAGAUCGUACAGUGACUGAGUGAGACAAUAAAUAGCCAAGUAAACUAUUUUAUCCUGCUGCAAGCUGCAUUCAUAAGUUUAUUUCACCUUUGAUCACAAUACUCUUCACACACGUACGUCUCAGGGAGAUCUCACUUCCGCUGGACUGCUCACUUCCGCUGUCGUCGGUACUGCCAAAGACAUAAGCUCACAUCUGCUAUUGCGGAGCAGGCCAAUUUGCUGCGGAACUUCGGCGACGACCUGAAGGACAUGAACUCGGUGCUGGAGUCCAUCUCAGCAGCGCUCUAGGACGCUGACACCGGUAGAAAAACGACCUUCCAUCGUCAACAAAAAUCCCGGUAGCUUUUUUACUCGGUACUAAAGAGGUUUUAAUCUCGUGCAAACACCUUUAGUCCAGAUUGCUAUUACCACGCAACCCGGACUAAAGCGUCCCCCGCGAGUUAGUAUAUAAGGAUUGCAUCCUUUACUCAGUCAGAUAUAAUAUGUAGGUGAGAUGGUAAGGAAGCUAUGCGUGAGGCUUCAGGUUGUGGGUUCGAAUCCAAGUGGGUGCAGCUGUGGCUUAAGCGGCUGAGGCACGCCGCCAUAGACAUCUCAGAUUUGCUCGAAGACUACCAAGACACUAGUGAACCCUUAACAGUAAAGGUGAGUACUUAUGAAUGUCAGCAUCCAUGUUGUCCAUGCUUCCAAUGUAAUAACAAGAUGGACUACUCUUCCUAGCGGACUCUUCACAACCACUCGUAAAGCUAUGCGUUUCUCAAUGCAAUUUCGUAGAAGCCAAUCGAUCCAACCAAGUGACUAAAUCAUUCGUCCUUUCCAAUGAUGUGCAUCAGGUUUUCUAUAUGAAGGGCAUGUCUAGCAAACCUAAGAUUUCAGAAGAAAAAGAAAAAUCAUUGGAGCCAAAGAGCCACAUAGUUCUUCUAGGAAAAAAAUCAUGGGAGUCGAGAACAUAUCAAACCAAUCAGGGGAUUAUGGUCAGCUUAAUGGCAUGCCUCCAUUCGAUGUCGAAGUUCACCCAAGCAUCAUGUUAGCCAAACAUCAAAUGUUCGUGCGUUGUUACGGUAAAGAUCAAUUGUGUUUUUUAAACUCUUGGAAUUUUUUUAUCUAAGUUUUUAUUUACACUUAUUGGAUGUCUACACAUUUGCUAGAAAACUAAAAUAAUUUGGACUUAAUUAUUUCUUUCAACUGAAGUACUCACUAAAUUUCUACCUUUUUAUUUAAGCAAGAGAGUUGCUAAAAAAAAUGGAUACGUAACCAUGUUGUAUCAUACAAAGUAACCACGUUUCACAUAUAGUCCGGCUUAGCAAACACCAUUGUUUUCUGAACAUAGCGUACAUGAGUUAACAGACAUGGAUUUAUUUCUAUUGCAAGUAGCAUAGCGUACAACCUGCCUGCACCGAUGCAGCUCAAUAUGCGAUAAUUUUUAUCUUCCCAUGUAAUUUUUCUACUCUAGUACAUAUUGAACUCCACAUUAAUGUCAUGUUCUUUCGCGCCCCAGAAGGUUCCUAAAGUUUGGAAACUUAAUAGAUAGCCAGAAUUUUUUUUAAAGAUAUUUAUAUGGAUACUUGUAUGUUCUUUCCAAACUAACAAUAUUGUUUACCAAUAUCAGAAGGAAUAUGGUUAGGAGCCAUUGCCGCAUAUGGCAGGUGAUGGUAGAUGGCGUAUGGGGUUUCGUUAAUUUAAUGGUAUAAUAAGCUGAAAUACAUUUUCUAUUUGCAAAUGAAUCAUAGCUGAAAUUGGUGGGAUUGUUUUUUCGCCGGUUUAGCAUCCUGUGCACCAGUUCAACCGGAGGGAAGCUGUUUUUUUUCUUUGGUUUUCCACCGGUUCACCGAGACCGAUGACAAUUUUAUGGCAGAAUCAUUACUUGUUUUACUAUUAGGUGAAGAUUUUAGCGUUUAGGUAUCUCACAUUAAACGCAACUUCAACAAUCUAUUUCUAGUGUAUAAUGUAGGAGACCCCGUAAAGAGUCUACACACACAUAUAUGUUGACUAUGAAUGUAAGUUUGUUGGUUUUAUGUAUGUUCGUUUGGAGUUUAUAUAAAUUUUACAUUUUAUAGUUUUGUGUAUAUGACGAAGAUCCAUGACUUGCAUUAAUUUAGCCUUUCUUCCAACAACUCUUAUGCAUGAUGUUUCUAGGCGAGCGUACUGGUUGCAAUUUUGGUCCCCGAUAUAGUGUGAGGACUUAAGGGACACGUGCAGGUCGUAACCUUAGAUAUUUUUGCUGAGAAUGGAUGAAGAAGCAAUAAUAUACUUUGCUUCUGAUUUUCUCCAUGUCAUUUGCUUACUCUUAUCCCUUUUAUUUAUCAUUAUAAGAUGAAAAUAUUGUAAAAACUUGGCUACGUGCGGUCGCAGAAGCUAGAGACUAAAGCGUCCCCCACGAGUUACUAUAUAAAAGGAUUGCAUCCUCUACUCAGUCAUAUGUACUGUGUAGGUGAGAUGGUAAGGAAGCUAUGUGUGAGGCUUGAGGUUGUAGGUUCGAAUCCCACGCACCGCGUGCGCAUGCGCAUAUUUUGCGUGAAAAAUCGCAUGACUUGUGGUCGGCCAAGGAGAAGUGCGUGCGGCUGAGGCACGCCGCCAUAGACAUCUCGGAUUUGCUCCAAGACUACCAAGACACUAGCGAACCCUUAACGGCAAAGUUGAGUACUUACGCGUGUUAGCAUCUAUGUUGUCCAUGCUUCCAAUGCAAUAACAAGAAGGGCUACUCAUCCUAGCGGAUUCUUCACAACCACUCGUAAAGCUAUGCGUUUCUCAAUGCAAUUUCGUAGAUGUCAAUCGAUCCAACCAAGCGACUGAAUCAUUCGUCCUUGCUAAUGAUGUGCAUCAGGUUUUCUAUAUGAAGAACAUGUCUAGCAAAUCCAAGAUUUCAGAAGAAAAAUAAAAAUCAUGAGAACCAAAGCACCACGUAGUUCUUCCAGGUAAAAAAAACAAUCAUCCACUGGGAUGACACACAGUAGCGAUCCAAAACGUCCAUAUUAAGACUUUUUGAUAGCAGAAAAAACAUGAAAAUGUCUAAUAUUUGUAGUAUUAAAAGGAAAAAUAAUAUAUUCACUUGACCUUUUUUUCGUAGCAACGCACCGGUGCGUAGUCAGACUUAGGCCACGUUUGGAUACUCCCUACUAAAGUUUAGCACCUGUCACAUAGGAUGUUUGGAUACUAAUUAGGAGUAUUAAACAUAGGCUAAUUAUAAAACUAAUUGAACAGAUGGAGUCUAAUUUGCGAGACGAAUCUAUUAAGCCUAACUAGUCCAUGAUUUGACAAUGUGGUGCUACAGUAACCAUUUGCUAAUGGUGGAUUAAUUAGGCUUAAUAGAUUCGUCUCGCGAAUUAACAUAGGGUUCUGCAAUUAAUUUUAUAAUUAGCUCAUGUCUAGUCCUUCUAAUUAGCAUCCGAACAUCUGAUAUGAUACUGCUAAAGUUUAUCACCUAGUAUCCAAAUACCCCCUUAAUGCACGAUGCCUGUGCAUCCACUGGGCCUACCCUCGUGGAUCACGCGCUCGUGGAUCACGCGCACCAUGACAUGGCUCAUUAGCUAGUCGUGCUAAUCCUUACCACCAAAUUAAAAACUAGCAUGUGUUGUGUGUUUGUGACCCUAAACGACUACCACCUUCCCGAGUCCACCGGAGUUGCCAGUUCACCACUAAGCUGACUCUCCGAGCUUCAUGUCACUGUCACCGCUCCAAAGACCUAGAUCGGUUCGCUGUGCACCCCGCUUCGUCCUGAGCUAAAUCCCAUCACGAAAGGUGACCGGAUGCUCGUUUUCGAGCGAAUUCUAGCGAGAUUGCCACCACCUUUCCCCUUCCAGCCGAUCGCAGCUGUCUGAUCACAAACCGACAGCCCAGAUCGGAUUUGACCAGGUCAAUACCGGUCAAGCCGAGAUGCAUGCUGCUUUUGCAAGAAGGCCCCUAUUUUUCUCUCUUUUUGCACUUGAGGUCCUACGCAGUUCAAAAGUAAUUAGAUCUAGAUCCUUUUUCUUCUGUUUUAGCCCUGUUCUUUUAUAAAAUCCCACCCGCCAUCCUGUUUGGUAUUUUGACAUGUUAGACCUUCUAUUUAUAUGUUUAAUUAGGUUUUAGCCCUUGGUUUCUUUAAGUUUAGCUCUUGGAAGUUUAGUUUUCUCGCAGUUAAGCCCCUGAACCUUGUUUAGUUCAUAUCUUUAGCGUUUUAAAUCCGUUUUAAGAGAUUCUUACGCCCAUAAGUUCGUGUUGAUGCAUAGAUUAGUUGACUUAUACGGACCUUGCUGAUUCAGCUCCUUCAUUGUGCUUCAGAUCUCGCUAGUGAAGAAUAAUGGAUGGGCUUUGGUUGAGCUUGUAGAUCGACCUGCAGUUGCAGUGAAUGUGCUGAGGACUGGCGGUACCAAUAAUGGGAGGCCGCUGCUCUGCUUGCUACCAAGGCCUGCGACGCUUGGACGCCAUUCAGAGUGCAUAAUUUCCAAGGAUCUCAAGGGCUCCACACCACGUUCCAAGUGUUUUUUCUUUGCCGAGUGUUUUUAGCUCGGCACUUGGCAAAGAGCUUGUUUGCCGAGUGUCCGAAAAAAACACUUGGCAAAGAGAAAACACUCGGCAAAUUUGAUGUUUCCCGUAGUGAUGUACUAUUCAAACUUGAACUGGGAUGCAGGCUUCAGUACCAAAGAGAGCUCUGGGCGCGGGUGAGCAGUGAGCUGGCCGGGCAGGGAGCUCCAAAGCGACAGCAACAAAGAGAGAAAUGCUAAGAGUAAGAACGACACACGAGGUCACUUCACAUAGAUAAUAGCAGUACGAACCAUACAAUAUCCUCUCUCAGUUUCACUCCGCCUCACACACGGCUAGCACACCAUGCAUGCCGAUUUCAUAUUAUUAAUAUUAUUUUUUGGAUGGUUGUUGAAACUAUAUAUAUAGUUAGUCCAAUCUCACGUUUCCGAUUAUAAAAAUCAACGUAAAGAGAUCGGUAGGGAGAGCCGGCAUAAUGAAGCCGACGCGUGUAAUAAGCACCAGAGCCGGCAUUUAUACAAACUGGUACGAAUAGUAAAAAACUAGAAUUUAUAAAUAAAAAAAUGAUUUGCACAUCUAUGCAAUAAUUAGGGGUUAGUGGCAGGUCUAGAGAGAUAUCUCAUCAUUAUAUCCGGUUUAACGAGGAUAAAAAAGAGUGUAUUUUCCACUCAUCAUGUUGUCUUUUCGCAGCGGUACCACUUUUCGUGUGUUGUAUCGGUCCCCUAAUACGGAGUCUCCGAGGCCCGAGAAAAUAAGGAAAGUGAUAGUAGCCCAGAAAUCGGCCAAGUUUCUUUCCCCUUUGGCUUUCCUACUAGGAUUCAGAAUCCUCUUUCGCAUGACAAUCUUAAUUAUCUCCCAUACUCCAAAACUCACAAAAACAUCAAGAGUCCGCUGAGAAUAAAUUUAAGUAAAAAACAUGCACACACAGAUAAUAAUAAUAAUCAUGUUUCCAUAAAAUUGCUAAGUCCAGAGAUAAUACAUAAACAUAGUAGACUGUUCAUGACACAUAUCACGGUGGACAGUGUUUGUGUCCUUAUUACAAGCAACGAGAGAUGCUCGUCACCAACACGCGCGCGCACAGAUGCACGACAUACAUAUAGUAGAGACCAACAGAUGGUCGUCCCAUAUGGUGAACAAUUUAUUGGAGAUAAAUAUUAACGUAACUUGGCCAUAGCUUGAAGCAUAGCAACAUAUGCCUAUGAGUGGCAUUCAUGCUAUCGUUUUAGGCUUGUCCAGCUCCUUCCAUCUUAGCAAGCACUUCCAUUUCUACCAUCUUAGCAGCAACUGUCAAAUUGAGAUACGGAAAUCCCAUUAGCGCAUGAGUUAAUUUUGCAGUGGAAAUAGAGUACAAGAUGUCUUCAUGAUGUAAGUAAUAUGCCUGAAGUUGUGAGAUGGGAAGUGAAGUCAACAAAUUACAUUAACGGAAAUGCAUGGAAGGCCACACAUACGUAUUAGUCCAUGAUAUGCUACAAAGCUUGUAUGUACAUAUAGCAAAUUAAAUGCAUUAAUUGAAUAGAGUGUGUUUAGUGAAUUUACCAGAAUCGUCCAGAAAACAUGGGAAACAGCAAGUGUUCUUGCAGACUGCGUCGGAGGCACCCGCACGAAUACAAAGCUGACAACAUAGUUUUGCCUGGGCGGAUGCGCAGCAGCCGCACUCCGCCGCGGUGGGGUUAACAUUGAGGCUCAAGAUGACCAGGCACAUGAUCACCAUCAAAGUGGUAGUCCUCUUUCCCUCCAUUGCCUCCUCUUAGCUUGCUGCUACCUUCCUUGGUUACCUAGCUAAGUUUAUUGGUUUUGUGUUGAGAGGUGUGAUUCUUGAAUGGACGUUGCCGGCGGCAAUUUAUAGGCAGCUGAGCUAUGUGAUGAUAUGGACUAGGUGCAAAUGGGUGGUUAAUGGCAAGGAAAGGGGCGUCAGACAAAGCCCAAUGGCAACUGCUGACAUGCGAUUAAAUUCAGAUCCACAUCCGGCCAUUCAAU